AUACUUACCUGGCAGGGGAGAUACCAUGAUCACGAAGGUGGUUUUCCCAGGGCGAGGCUUAUCCAUUGCACUCCGGAUGUGCUGACCCCUGCGAUCUCCCCAAAUGUGGGAAACUCGACUGCAUAAUUUGUGGUAGUGGGGGAGUGCAUUCGUGCUCUCCCCUG
rnacentral:snRNA from 1 species